GGACCACAGAUCCAAGGAUCAAAUAGACAGUUGCUCCUGGUUCUGAAGAGAAGCCAAAGAGUGAGACACAUCUGUUCCUGGCAGCAUCAAUUUACUUCAAAAAAUGAUAAUGGACAUCAAAGAACCUCCAAUUGGAGUUUACUUUCUUUGUGGAAAAAGCUAGUCAUUUGGGCAAGAAACUGCUCUGACUUGACUGCUGACAGUAUGCUGUCCAAAUUGGAUAAGCAGAACACACACACAAAAAGUGACUGCCAAACUUUGCCAAGACAUGAUAGGAUAGUCCCUCAGAAUUCCUACUUCAUAGAAAUGCCAGGUAUUCUAGGCCUGUAGGCCCAAGAUGGAUGCCUCAACAUUGCAGCAGAAGCUUGAGUGACUGUCCAGGCAGCCAGAUAUCUCUGUCAUUUUGGAAGUGGUUUGUAUUGCACUUCUUGUUUACUCAGUUAGUAUUAUGUCCUUCUGGGGUCUUUGAUGGAGUUGAAGACUUGGUGAUUAUAGUUGCCCUUUUCCUCAGUUAUGAUAGAAGGUGAAUUAGGUACAGAGCUUUUGACUCAACAAGAUAGAAUAAUGGAGUAUUUUCUCUGAAUAUGCCAAAUACAAAUAGACUGGAC
rnacentral:lncRNA from 1 species